rnacentral:rRNA from 1 species
GCUAGCGGCGGGCUUAACACAUGCAAGUCGAGCGCUUGACUUCGGUCAGGAGCGGCGGACGGGUGAGUAACACGUGGGUUACGUACCCUCUGGUGGGGAAUAACCAUGGGAAACCGUGGCUAAUACCGCAUAUGGUCUACGGAUCAAAGCCUUCGGGCGCCAGAGGAUCGGCCCGCGGCCCAUUAUUUAAUCCUAGUUGGUGGGGUAACGGCCUACCAAGGGUACGAUGGGUAGCUGGUCUGAGAGGAUGAUCAGCCACACUGGAACUGAGACACGGUCCAGACUCCUACGGGAGGCAGCAGUGGGGAAUAUUGCGCAAUGGGCGGAAGCCUGACGCAGCCACGCCGCGUGUGUGAUGAAGGCCCUCGGGUCGUAAAGCACUGUCGGGAGGGAAGAAGAUCUGACGGUACCUCCCAAGAAAGCACCGGCUAACUCC